CAAUAAUACAAAGCCCUUCCCAUCUCUCCUUUAUAAAUACCACUCAUACGUCAAUCAUGUACAAACGCAGUUGCUUCAAUUCAUUUUCGAUUCUCAACUAACACAUUUAGGAUAAAAAGUUCGAUAUUAUACAUGGAUUAUAAACAUCUCGUUACCGAAGAAAGUGUGAGGGAAUCUCUUAUCGCCAUUUCAAACGACGUUCAUGUAGAGAUUGCUUACUUACCCAAGACCCAAAAUGCAAAAGAUAUGGCAGAUGAUACGAUUUCUAACGUUAAAAUCAAGACCCGUGAGGAAUUAAGAUUGGAAUUGAUAUCAAUAGCUUCUUUAGAAUCGUCAAGUGACUACAAUAGUAACGAUGAUUUGUAAAUCGUUGCUUUUUAUAGUGCAUUUUAAACAUCUUUAAUACUGUCAAUUACUUAAUUUUCAGGUAAUAGUAGUAUUAGUCUUGCUCUACCAUUAAUAUAAUGAAAUAAAAAAAACUCUCCAAACAUUUUGUUAUUA